CCUACGGGAGGCAGCAGUAAGGAAUAUUGGUCAAUGGAGGGAACUCUGAACCAGCCAUGCCGCGUGCAGGAAGACGGCCCUACGGGUUGUAAACUGCUUUUGCACGGGAAUAACCCUCAUUAUGCAUAAUGAGCUGAAUGUACCGUGAGAAUAAGGAUCGGCUAACUCCUAGCCAGCAGCCGCGGUAAU
rnacentral:rRNA from 1 species